rnacentral:rRNA from 1 species
ACACAUGCAGUCGYACGAUGAUGCCCAGCUUGCUGGGUGGAUUAGUGGCGAACGGGUGAGUAACACGUGAGUAACCUGCCCCUGACUCUGGGAUAAGCGUUGGAAACGACGUCUAAUACUGGAUAUGAUCACUGGCCGCAUGGUCUGGUGGUGGAAAGAUUUUUUGGUUGGGGAUGGACUCGCGGCCUAUCAGCUUGUUGGUGAGGUAAUGGCUCACCAAGGCGACGACGGGUAGCCGGCCUGAGAGGGUGACCGGCCACACUGGGACUGAGACACGGCCCAGACUCCUACGGGAGGCAGCAGUGGGGAAUAUUGCACAAUGGGCGAAAGCCUGAUGCAGCAACGCCGCGUGAGGGAUGACGGCCUUCGGGUUGUAAACCUCUUUUAGUAGGGAAGAAGCGAAAGUGACGGUACCUGCAGAAAAAGCACCGGCUAACUACGUGCCAGCAGCCGCGGUAAUACGUAGGGUGCAAGCGUUGUCCGGAAUUAUUGUGCGUCAAGAGCUCGUA